rnacentral:rRNA from 1 species
GAUGAACGCUAGCUACAGGCUUAACACAUGCAAGUCGAGGGGCAGCAUGAAGUUUGCUUGCAAACUUUGAUGGCGACCGGCGGAUGGGUGAGUAACGCGUACCCAACCUGCCCCCUUCCCGGGCACAGCCCUUGGAAACGAGGAUUAACGCCCGAUGGCGUCUGGAUGCCGCAUGGCAUUCCGACCAAAUGCGAAGGAAGGGGAUGGGGGUGCGUCCCAUUAGCUAGUUGCGGGGUAACGGCCCACCAAGGCAUCGAUGGGUAGGGGUUCUGAGAGGAAGGUCCCCCACACUGGAACUGAGACACGGUCCAGACUCCUACGGGAGGCAGCAGUGAGGGAAUAUUGGUCAAUGGGUGAGAGCCUGAACCAGCCAAGUAGCGUGAAGG